rnacentral:rRNA from 1 species
ACACGACUACAUUAGAUACCCGGGUAGUCCUAGCCGUAAACGAUACUCGCUAGGUGUCGGCCACGGUGCGACCGUUGUCGGUGCCGUAGGGAAGCCGUGAAGCGAGCCACCUGCGAAGUACGGCCGCAAGGCUGAAACUUAAAGGAAUUGGCGGGGGGGCACAACAACGGGUGGAGCUUGCGGUUUAAUUGGAUUCAACGCCGGAAAUCUUACCGGGACCGACAGCAACAUGAAGGCCAAGCUGAAGACUUUGCCGGAUUAGCUG